CCUUCUGCAGUUUUGCACAAUACCAGGAGAGAGAGCUAGAGCGAGAGAGAGAGAUCGACACAAGAGAGAGAGAGAGAGAGAGAGAGAGUGACGGACAAACGGAAUUUGUCUUUCUCAUCUUUAUAUUUGUCUUUCUCACUAAUGAACAUUUGUCUUUUUCUAGUUGCCGAGCAAGGAAGAAAGAAGAGCUUCAGUAUCAUCAUCCUGAGGAUGCAAGGUCUAAGUGUUUGUGGGAAAUAGUAACAUGAUAAAAUUGAUCAACAAUCAGAAGAUUUGAAGCAAAGGGUAAAAGGUAAAGAGAGUGGCGGUUCUGUAUAAGGAGAUGUCAGCAUUGCAUAGGAACAAGAGGAAAAAGAGAAUGAAGAAGAAAAAGAAGAGAGUAGUGGAGAGGAAGCAAAAAAAGAGGUAUUUGGGAUGCAAGGAGAACCUUCAUAUUCUUGCAACUAAACAACUCCUACUGAUUUUGAAUUGCAUGGAAGGGGAUAAAGCUGUAUUUCUUUUGGUUGCACUGUCACAUGUGAUAGAUGGA